rnacentral:tRNA from 1 species
GUGCCCAUAGCUCAACUGGAUAGAGCAUCUGGCUACGAACCAGAAGGUUGGGGGUUCAAGUCCCUCUGGGCACACCA